rnacentral:rRNA from 1 species
ACGGGAGGCAGCAGUGAGGAAUAUUGGUCAAUGGGCGGAAGCCUGAACCAGCCAAGUCGCGUGAAGGAAGACGGUAUUAUGUAUUGUAAACUUCUUUAGACGCAGAGAAAUAAGGUGCUCGCGAGCGCUGAUGCUAGUAUGCGUAGAAUAAGGAUCGGCUAACUCCGUGCCAGCAGCCGCGGUAAUACGGAAGGUCCGGGCGUUAUCCGGAUUUAUUGGGUUUAAAGGGAGCGUAGGCGGUAUUUUAAGCGUGUUGUGAAAUGUAGAUGCUCAACAUCUGAAUUGCAGCGCGAACUGGAGUACUUGAGUGCGCAGGAAGUUGGCGGAAUUCGUCGUGUAGCGGUGAAAUGCUUAGAUAUGACGAAGAACUCCGAUUGCGAAGGCAGCUGACUGUAGCGUAACUGACGCUGAAGCUCGAAGGUGCGGGUAUCGAACAGGAUUAGAUACCCUGGUA